UACGUAGGGGGCGAGCGUUGUCCGGAUUUAUUGGGCGUAAAGAGCUCGUAGGCGGCUUGUCACGUCGGGUGUGAAAGCCCGGGGCUUAACCCCGGGUCUGCAUUCGAUACGGGCUAGCUAGAGUGUGGUAGGGGAGAUCGGAAUUCCUGGUGUAGCGGUGAAAUGCGCAGAUAUCAGGAGGAACACCGGUGGCGAAGGCGGAUCUCUGGGCCAUUACUGACGCUGAGGAGCGAAAGCGUGGGGAGCGAACAGG
rnacentral:rRNA from 1 species